rnacentral:pre_miRNA from 1 species
AAUAAGUUCAUUUUUCAGUUUUGUUUUGACUCUUCGUCUUAUUUGAAUUUUUUUUGCGAUUAAUAUUUAUAUUGUUACUAGAUGAUAAAACAUGAAUAGUACUUUAUGUGUGACUAAUUUUUUUAAGUUUUUGUACAAAAUUUUCAAAUAAGACGAAUGGUCAAACUUUAGACAGAAAAAUCGAAAAAUGAAGUUAUU